rnacentral:ncRNA from 1 species
UUGUCUUCGGGGCGGGGUGCAAGUCCCCACCGGCGGUACAGUCCGCGAGCGGCGUUCAGCCGCAGGAACCGGUGCAAUUCCGGUACCGACAGUAACAGUCUGGAUGAGAGAAGGCG